UUUACAGAAAUUUAAUUUGACCGGAGAAGCUCUCGGGACACUCGGCACCAAAGAGAUUCCUGGUUCUAUCAUCUGUUGCUACUCUCUGUUCUUCUUUUAUCGUCUUCAGGUUCAGAAAAGAAAGGGUAUUCAAUCUAUUCUCAUUUCUCUAUUAAAUCAAAGAUGACAAUGACAUCGACAAAGGCUUGAAAAUGAUAAAACAUUGUGGGUGGCUGCAACUGACCGACUCGAGCUCGCUUCAGCCUCCUCCGAUCCUGCAGCUACUGUCUCCCCAAGCAAAGUCAACCUACAACAACAAGGUGAACCUCCUACCCUGCAGUUUAGGGAACAAGAACUAUCUCAGAUAAUAGGACAUGGUAGGGUCACAGGAAACAGGAAG